rnacentral:rRNA from 1 species
UACGGGGGGGGCAAGCGUUGUUCGGAAUUACUGGGCGUAAAGGGCUCGUAGGCGGCCAACUAAGUCAGACGUGAAAUCCCUCGGCUUUACCGGGGAACUGCGUCUGAUACUGGAUGGCUUGAGUUUGGGAGAGGGAUGCGGAAUUCCAGGUGUAGCGGUGAAAUGCGUAGAUAUCUGGAGGAACACCGGUGGCGAAGGCGGCAUCCUGGACCAACACUGACGCUGAGUGAGCGAAAGCCAGGGGAGCAAACGGG